UUUUUAAAAAGGGAAUCAUUAUCCUAAAAUAACUACCCCAACCACCCCACAUUUCUCUCAACCCCCUUAACUCCCUCAACUUCCUAUCCAACACACACUAUAUGACACACACGGACAGAAAACAAGGGGAAAGUCAGCAAGAAACCAAAAGAAAAGAAGAAAGAAAGACAACCAAAGAAAACAACAAGAGAAUGAAAACACACGGACAGAAAGAAAACAAAAAAAAAACCAACAUUUUGAAGAGAAAUCAAAAGAAAAACUAAGAGUGAAACAGAAAGGGAAAAGAGAAAAAGAAGAGUCAGAGUUUGAGUUUUGGGGUCUCGUUCGAGUUUUCAGUGACGUCGUUUGUGCUUCUUUUUAAUUAGUUCAUCAUACAGGAUGUGAAUGUAACCGCUAAGGAAGAUGGUCAUGAAGUGGAUUUGAAAAAUUAGGAAUGUACUAACAUGGAAGAUGUGCAGGUUCAGUAGCUUGAAGCCUCAAAAGCAAAAGCACCUGCCAAAAGGAAAAGAAAGAAGUCUAGUGUUUUAAGGUCACCGUAUAUUUCAAAGUAUGGUUCUGGCUCUAAGGAUCGGGCGAUUUCGAUAAAGAGGAGAAGCUGAAGUAUGCUUUUGAUGGGUACACCAUUAACCAAGAUUUGCCGAAUGAAUUGAUGAUCGAUUACUCCCAGUGAAUUGCCGUAGGAUUACUGAAAACUCAUUUUGCCAAGAAAGAAACGGACAAUCACUGUCGAGUAAAUGCUUCGAGAUUAGAGGUUACCCACAAUUGGACUUUGUUGUUGCACACCCACAGUCCAAGAAUUGGUUUUACUUGACGUCCGAACUCAAGACAUGCCGGAACGAUGAGAAUUUAGAUGUGAUCUUCUACCACUUGAGAAAGAAAUCAAAGAUUCGGCUGAGUGAUAAUUAUAGAUAUACAACGACUAGCUGUUUCUUUAAAAUAUAUGUUGAGAAGACACAUACUCGAUAUUAUCCAGCAGAACCGACAUUUGAGCUAUCCACACGACAAGACUAUGCAGAAUUAAUUGUGAUGGCUAAGAAUGAAGAUGCUAUUGUAAAUAUACUUCAUGGAUUCUGUAUGUCUUUUGGGUUACCAUGGUACAUGGUUGACGAGGUAUAUGUUCCAAUUAACUGCGGAAAAGAAUUUCACUGGAUAUUGGUUGUGAUUGUCUUGAAGGAAAGAUUGAUACGUGUGUAUGACUCACUGUCAAGUAAAAGAAAAAAAGAACCACCAAUUGAAAUAAAAAAGCUUGAAGUGAUGUUGCCUACUUGUCAGACAAUGGAUUUUAUGAAAAGACCGAGCGAACUGACUGGCCAUCACUUGAAGCGUACAAAGGAAAGCUUACUCAGCAAACUGGUCUUGUCAAUGAAAUUUCAUUUGAUGUUGACUAUGUGCAAAACAUUCCACAACAAACGUCUGAUAGUUUGAAUUGUGGCGUCUUUGUGUAUGCCUAUGCAGAAAUAUUAAGUGAAGGGCUGCAAGUUCAUUCAUGUAGGUUUGAUGCUGCAAGUCAAUGUGCAUGCUAUGGUUCAUUACUGUGGCAUUACGGAGUGAAAAAGGCAAAUGAAGGGUACACGAGUGAUAAUGGUGAUCUGCCUCAGCCAAGAAAAAAUGUUAUAGAAGAAAUUGAUGCAUGUGCAAUUGUUACUUUAGAGUCGCAAUAUUUAUAAUAGUCGGCAUCGAAAGAACUAAUUCUUACUUUUGUGGUUGAUGUUAAACAAUUUCAAGAUUACUUUUUGGAUAUUAAUGCACAUUUUAUGGGUG